UUUUUUUUUAACUAAUUAAGCUAAACUAUUACUCAGUUUUAAGAUGAUUUCAGGGGUUAUAUCUGGUUUAAGAUUUAAAGAUUAUCUCAGGACAAUAGUUUCAUCUACCCUCCAUGGAUCCUCAAAGUCUGGAGUUCAUGAGAAUUUUAAAUUAUAUUCUCUAUUUUCCCCUUUUUGAUCAGGGUUCUUCCAUGGAAUCUUUGAUCAAAAUAUUCAGUAUUGGUAGUGGGGCACCAUCCAGUUCUUAUGGUCACAUUGCAAAGGAGCAGCUGUUCAUGGAGACAAUAAGCCACACAGUCCAUGUCCUCUUCCUGUUCCUGACUCUCCUUCCUCUGUUGCUCCAGCUAUCCCUGAGAGACAGAUAUUACCAUUGGCCACAAUUCGCAGAUGAGAAAACCAGGAGUUAGAAACACAAGUAACUUUUUCAAGGAUCUCAUAUAGCUGUUAUGUGAUAGAGACUGGAGGAUUGGAACCUGGGCAUCCUGGCUCCACAGCUCAUCUUUACUGAGAUACAAUUUGCAUACUAUAAGAUUCAUCUGUUUCAAGUGUACAUUUUGGUAAGUUUUAGUAUAUUCAUAGAGUUGUGCAUCCAUCACCACUAUCUAAUUUCAGAACAAUUUCAUUACCCCAGAUAGAGAUCUGGUACCUAUUAGCAGUCACUAUCUAUCCCCUCCACCCUUCCACUUUAGCCGUAGGCAAGCAAUAAUCUAUAUUCCAUCUCUAUACAUUUGCCUAUACUGGACAUUUCAUAUACAUGGAAACAUAUAAUCUGUGACUUUUUGUGUCUGACUUCUUUCACUUAGCAUAAUGUUUUCAAGGUUCAUCCGUGUUGUA